rnacentral:rRNA from 1 species
UACGGAGGGUGCAAGCGUUAUCCGGAUUCACUGGGCGUAAAGGGCGCGUAGGCUGUGCUGUAAGUCAGGCGUGAAAGGCCCGGGCUCAACCUGGGAAUGGCGCUUGAUACUGCGGCGCUGGAAGGUGGGAGAGGAUGGCGGAAUUCCCAGUGUAGAGGUGAAAUUCGUAGAUAUUGGGAAGAACACCGGUGGCGAAGGCGGCCAUCUGGCCCACAUUUGACGCUGAGGCGCGAAAGCGUGGGGAGCAAACAGG